ACUCCUACGGGAGGCAGCAGUAGGGAAUCUUCCGCAAUGGACGAAAGUCUGACGGAGCAACGCCGCGUGAACGAAGAAGGUUUUCGGAUCGUAAAGUUCUGUUGUUAGGGAAGAACAAGUACCGUUCUAACAGGACGGUACCUUGACGGUACCUAUCGAGGAAGCCCCGGCUAACUACGUGCCAGCAGCCGCGGUAAUACGUAGGGGGCAAGCGUUGUCCGGAAUUAUUGGGCGUAAAGCGCGCGCAGGCGGUUCCUUAAGUCUGAUGUGAAAUCUUGCGGCUCAACCGCAAGCGGUCAUUGGAAACUGGGGAACUUGAGUACAGAAGAGGAGAGUGGAAUUCCACGUGUAGCGGUGAAAUGCGUAGAUAUGUGGAGGAACACCAGUGGCGAAGGCGGCUCUCUGGUCUGUAACUGACGCUGAGGCGCGAAAGCGUGGGGAGCAAACAGGAUUAGAUACCCUGGUAGUCCACGCCGUAAACGAUGAGUGCUAGGUGUUAGGGGGUUUCCGCCCCUUAGUGCUGCAGUUAACGCAUUAAGCACUCCGCCUGGGGAGUACGGCCGCAAGGCUGAAACUCAAAGGAAUUGACGG
rnacentral:rRNA from 1 species